rnacentral:tRNA from 1 species
UAGGCAAAAGCCCGCUGGAUUGGGUGUUUAGCUGUUAACUAAGUUUUUAUGGGAUCAAGGCCCAUUUGUCUAG